rnacentral:rRNA from 1 species
CACGUAGGGCGCAAGCGUUGUCCGGAAUUAUUGGGCGUAAAGAGCUCGUAGGCGGUCUGUUGCGUCCGCUGUGAAAACUCGGGGCUUAACCCCGAGCCUGCAGUGGAUACGGGCAGACUAGAGGUAGGUAGGGGAGAAUGGAAUUCCCGGUGUAGAGGUGAAAUGCGCAGAUAUCGGGAGGAACACCGGUGGCAAAGGCGGUUCUCUGGGCCUUACCUGACGCUGAGGAGCGAAAGCGUGGGGAGCGAACAGG